GCAUAAGUGCUAGCUUUAGCUAUGCAUAUACUACAACUAGGAAGAUACAGAGAAGACUAGCACGACUCCUAAGCAAGGAUGACCUGAAAAUUCAUGAAGAAUUCCAUAAAUUU
ensembl:snRNA U6 U6 spliceosomal RNA